AAAUACAAUUUGCGUGGGUACGAAUUGAUCCGAAAGCAAGCAGUGAUUCUGCUUCCGCUCUUCCUCUUCCUGCACCACUUCCGUUGACAGUGCCCAUGUUGUGCGCCAACUUCGGACGGAGAUCGGAGUGCAGAUAGAACAGUCUGGUUUGACUUCAUGUCGGCGAACCGCAAUCGUAAAAGUAUGUGCCAGUGACAGUCGCGUAAAGCGUUCUCCCGAUUAUGUUCGUCGCUUGCGUAUCCAUCCCGUGAGCGAGCCACCCAGAGAAUCGAAAAAGAAAAAAAUAUGCACGCUCCAGCCCCCAGCGCUAAAAUGGCGCUCAGCAGUAGAUCCUUUCGAACGUUCGGAUCAUGCGUUGCAUGAGGCGUCACAAUGUCUCAGCUCGCCCGACAAUCGCCGAUUCAACAGCACAUGUGGGGCUUCAAUGCCCCGCACCGCUGUGCCCACUGCAAACUGCGCUUCGUCGACGAGGACGAAUUGGAACACCACCACCGGCGCCAGCACGGCCUCAAGCUUCUGGCCGUGGAGAACUGGAACUCCGCCGAGCGAUGCUACGGACCAGUGUCGGCAAGUCCCUCAAGAACGUCGCGGGUGAUCGACUUCACCUGUCUCCUGUGCGGCCAGCGAGCAAACUCCCGGGUCGAGGUUUCGGCGCACAUCACUCGCGCUCACUUUCGGCGUGUCUGCAUCUCCUGCGGUCGCCUGUUCACCAACGAGGCUGCGCUGAAGUCUCACCGCAGGAACAUGCACGACGCCGCGCGAGUGAGAAAUGCGCCGUCCUGCGGCACCGACGCGUCUUCGUCGUCCACUUCCUCGUCUCUCGAAGUGUGCGCGGUCAACGAGCCGGCGAGCGUGGUGGAGAGCGGCAAGGUCGACGAAGUGCCAAACGUCGACGAGGUGCCGACUACAUCGCCCGCCCAAGUCGACUGCAGCAUCUGCCAGCUGUCCCAGAACCACCCGCAGGAUUCCAACGGUGCGUUCAGUUGCGCCCACUGUUUGUGGUCGUCGCUGAGCGUGUCGCGACUGAAGAGGCACCACCUCGAAAAGCACGACGACAAGGGCGAGUACGCGCAACUCUUGCUCCAGGAAACGCCUGCUGCUGCUACCGAAGUUGAGCCGCCGGCAGCGCACGGAUACAGCGCUAGUUGCUCUCGAGACAGUUUCGCGGACAGGGACACCGAAAGUUUCAGCGGACGCUCAUCUCGGGCCGAGAGCCCCGAUCUCGUUGCGGGAUCGAACGACGACAAGAUUGGCAAGGCGAUGGUUCCCUCCGUAGCGGGCCUUGCUCACCCUCACGACAAGAAACGAAAGGAGAGGAUGUUGGCGGGAGGAAAGCUCGAGAUGGCGUGCCCGAGUUGCAACUUCAGCUGCACCACGGUUCUGGCGCUUCGCCUGCACCACAUCUCCAAACACGAUGGGACGCCGUUACAGGAACCGCACAGCGAAGAUACCAGUCGGAAAUCAGCAGCCGCUAAGGCAAGGCCAGUGUCGCGCAGCAAGACAGCUAGAUCCGACUCGAAGCUGUCGUCGGACGGUAGUCGUCCCAACAGUAGUCGUUCCUUCACGGCACACGGUUACGAGCACGACGGCUUCGUUUGCAGCGACAAGAGUAGCGUGGAAAGCGACGACGAAGAUAGCACCAGCACAAUCACUAGCGCGAAAAGCCCGCCCUCGGACGCCGAUGUCAGCUGGCAUCCGAGUGAGCUGUCGGGUGAAGAGACACUUCAAGAGGAGGAGGAUUCUUCCAGUGGCAGUGUGGACAAUGAAAUGUCUUGCGUAUCUUGUGAGACGUGCCGGCAGAGGUUUGCCUCCAAGUUGAGCCUCGCAGUUCACAUGAACAAACUGCACAGGAUGUCGUUUUUCUGCAUCUAUUGCUCCCGCAGUGCUAAGCGUGUUGACCUUUUGCGGCUCCAUCACCAACGAGAGCAUCGCCAGCGCCCAUUCAAUUAUCACACUCUUGAAGGGCUCAGGUUGGUGACGGUUAACGACGUUGACUCGGAUGAGAGUGAAGAGAAUGAUGUCAGUAAAAACGCAAGUUUUGUUGGCAAGUCUAUCCGGCAUCCCGCGAGGCACCGCCAUCGAGCCGUUCAGAAAAGCCCCCCCAAAAACUCCUCGCAGCAAUCACCUGUGCACAAUUCUUCGAGUGAGCAGUUUCGUUCAAUGCCGUGGCGGCGGAAAAGGCCCAGACUCCUGUCCUCAAGCAGUGAGGAGACAACGGAUUGCUACGAGCCAGAGACUAUACCUACCAUUUCACGCUGUGUCUACAAUGGUUACCGCUGUCCCAAGUCUGUUCGCGCUUUCCGCCAAUUAAUAGACAACGUAAGCCGCGAGUUCAAGUGUAGUGCUUUUACUUGCGGCUUCAGCACAGACAGCUCUUCAGAUUUUGAAAACCACCUGAAGAAUCACAAUCUCGCUGAUGUCUUCUGCCUGUAUUGUGGUGCUAGUGUUGCCAGUCCGAGAGCCUUGCUAACUCAUCUCGAAGAAGACCACAGCGAUCUACAGUUUCAGUGCUCCAAGUGCUUGUACCGAACUGCCCACCCUAUGCAUUUCCGUGUUCAUUUUCCUCAAGCUCACCCGCUGGAUUCGGUUGCAUCGAUUCCUCUAUCCAGUCGUGGGGACCCUCCUGCAUCCUCUUCCUCUGUACAGAUCAAAGAAUUCGAUCCAUACGUGUGCGGGUUUCCAGGAUGUCUGUUUAAAAACAGGACACGGUCCGAGUUUGAAAAGCACUUUGGAGAGGCUCAUGCCGAUGCAGACUCAUUUCCCUGCGGAAGCUGCACUAAAAGUUGCCAGUCUGUAACGGCACUCAUCGAACAUCUUCAGGAGCAUGGUUUUGCCGACAUUGAGUGCAGCUACUGCAACUUCGGAACGGAAAGCACCGGAGCCAUGAUGCUCCAUGCCUGCUACUGCCACUCGAGCCACGAGACCACGUUUUGGGUCAGAAGCAACAACCUCAGCCAGGAGCUUCUCACUUCUUCCGACAGGGGCAUCAAGUAUGAGACCUCUUGCGACUUGAGCUACUUGACUUUCCAGCAGCGCUGCUGCUUCUGCCCGGCAUUGGUCUCUGGCUUUCAAGACUUUCAGGCGCAUGCAUUGAGCAAGCACGGUCUCUCACUCUCCGCACAAGAGCUCGCUGACAAGCUCUUCAUGUCAUAUGACUACAUAGAGGCUGUGAAACAUGGCCAGUGCCCCUUCUGCUCCUUUGCCAUCAACGACGUCAACCGUCUGCAGCAGCAUGUGUUGAAGCAAGAGCUUCGCCUUACGGCCUACGUCUGCUCGUCCUGCCUCCGCGGCUUUGACGACCAGGUGUCCUGGCAAAAGCACAUCGACAAUGAACGUUGCUCUGCGACCGCAACGCUGCAGUUGUGCGACACCGGGCCGCUACUCUCGUGGGUGCUGCAGAACCUGGUGUUCAAGUUCCAGCGCUUCACCUGCAGCCACUGUGCGGAGGUUUUGCGGGUGGUGUCGACCUUCCGGAACCACCUUCUGCGCCACUACACAUACUACCCAACAACGUGUAAGUUGUGUGGCCAGUCAUUUCGCGGGAUCCGGGCCAAAGAGUGCCACAUGAGAGCUGUCCAUGGCGGGUCAGGCUCUACCGAAGGCACGGAUGCAGACAUCGAUGCAGAGGUUGCGCGCCAGACCAUCGUUCGUACCCCUCACACCUGCCAGCGAUGCGGCUUUCAGACGUUCAACCAGACGUACCUCGAAGCGCACGGGGAAAAGUGUUCCCUGUCCGCAAGUUCAGUGCCUGCGCUUCAAGCGAGCAAUGACAGGUCCGAAAAUGGCAGUGGAACUACGGAGGAAGAUGAAGAUAUCCCGGCAUAUUACUGCAUGCACUGCAGUGUGAGCUUUAUGUACUUGGAGCGACUGCUAAGCCAUGGCUUCACUCAGCACGGCUGUGCCUACUCCUGUUCCCGCUGCUACCGAGGCUUCGAGACAAAGGAACACUUUGUACGGCACUGCAGGGGCCGUGCCUGCAGACGGCCGCCGUCCGUCUUUAACGUAGAGGUGGUGAAGAGGUCCUCAAAGAGGAAGUUUUUCUUCAGGGAGAUCGCCAUUGACUACGACAUCGGCAACGGGUCGUACAGUUCAUCGGGAGAGGAUGACGAGAUGGAAGAAUGCUACUACUCUUUCUACAACCAGGAUUAUGAGCCAGUGCAGGGAAUUGGCCGCACAUACAUCACGGACGAGGCGACAGGCAUGAAACUUUCGGUGUCAGACAUUGCAAGAGUUCUGAAUAUCAAUGCCUAUGUUUGUGUUGCUGAUUGGAAGAGGAAAAUUCGUUGAGCUCGCUGCUUGGAACGACGACUUGCUGGCGGUUUUUUUUCUCCCUCUGUUUCUUUCAACGGUCCUUAAUUUCACUCCUUUUGUUUCAUACUUUUGUGGUGCAUUCCAUAACUUUGUGCAAUGCGCACUCAAGUGUUGUGCAUAUUGUGCUUUUGAUGGACUGUUAUUUAUGAGAGCCAUUGUUGAAAGAAUGUUUUCUCUGUGGCUUUACACCGUGGUAUUAUUUCUGUGACUGGUGUGUGAUUUUAUGGUAAAAAAAACAAAAAAAAAGUAUUGCAAGAAGUCUCCCUGGCCGUGUUGUAAAACGCCCCACUUCUUCUAUGUGCUCUAGGUUGCCAGCCGGAGACACAUCAGUAAGCUUAAUUGACUUGGAUGCCACCAUGCAACCGUUUCCAGUAGAACAAGAAUUUGAGAUAUUGUGGAACACACACACGUCCUUUUUGUUUGAAGCUUCACCUUUAUUACUAUCGCCGUGUGGUGAAUGAACAUUUUUUCGUACUCUGAAUUUCUCGCUUAAAGGGUUAGGUUGGACUCAAACAGUAAUUAAAGCCACAGCCUAUUUCUGCAGCAGGUCAUUUCAGUCACCCGGAGCUUAUGUACGUAAUCUCCGUAUUUAUAAUGUGCAUCAACUUGAAGCCCAUGCUUGACGAUCUAGAUGAUGCCUGGCGUGAACAUAGUGUCAUUGCGUUUCCUUCGGCGUGUUCACGUCAGGUUUUACCUUGACCGCAUAGACUUCCAGUUAAGGCGCAUCUCUUAAUACAGGAGUAAAUGCAGCAAAAGGCUCGAGUAAUGUGCCCAGGGUUCUUUUUUUUUCUCAACCCAAUUUAACAGCUCUGUAAUUUAACACAUCAGUAAACUUAAUUGGCUUG